rnacentral:lncRNA from 1 species
GAGUGUCCAAAAUAGCUUUCUUUGAAUUCUGCAUCGUGUAGAUGCCAGUCUUAUAAUGGAUCUCUCAGUCACAUCAACGCCCGAGUCUAUGGUGAUGAUAAUGUUUGUGCAAAGUGGAUGCCAAGUGACUGCACAAUCAAGGUUUCUGAGUAGUUGAAAUAGAUAAGUCUUGAGUCAAUCAGUACAUCUGUACCACAUUCAUGUGGCAAAUGCUGCUUUAUGGAGAUGUUUCUAAUACUGACCUACAAUAAUUCAGCCAAGAUCACGUUUCUACUGUCUUCAGGAAAUGAGAAAAAUGAAUCCAGGAAAUUUCCAUCUUUAACUAUACUCUGUAAAUGUGCUGUCCAAUACACAGAUAGCUACUGAGCACUGGAAUAUAGCUAGUCUGAAUGGAGAUGUUCUCGAGCAGUUAAAGUGAAAACAAGAUCACGGAAAAGGAGAUAUAUUUUGGUAGAUCCAAGAAUCUAUGUUUGAUAGAGUCUUCACAGAAAGAGUCGAAAUUGACAACAUGCUUAUUGCUUUGGCUUUGGAUGUUGGUUGGGAACAUGGUUCUUGAAUAUCCACACUUCAAAGUAGAUCUUACUUUUUGGAAGAGUAGAAAGCUCAUUACGUUGGUUAAUUUGAGAAGUAAGACAAGGGCUCAGAAAGGUACUAGUUAUUAGUACCUUAUACACUAGCCUGCCUGGCAUUCUUACCAUGACAGUGAAUUGUCAUGGUAAGAGUUGUGGUUUUAAACCUCUUUUCCCCAGAUGUUACAUGGAGUAAUAUAUGUAUCCACAUACAUAUUAAAGUAGGAGGUAGAUAUUAUAUUGACUGGUGACUUGAGGACAUGAUACACAAAAUAGGUAACGUUUGAUGAAGCUUGAAAUGAGCCAAGAAAGGACAAAUCUGGAUAACACACUGUAGCCUUGGUGAUGAGAAAGGAGAAAGGAAAGAUAAUGAAGAUGGGUAUCAUAUUGCUUUGCCUUGAAUUUGCAGAAAGAGAUAUUUGGAUUAUGAUGUUACCUUAAAAAAGGCAGUUGAUAUUACUCAGUGAAAGUUCAGAAGCCAAGAAAACUAUGUGUGUGUACAUAUAUGUAUAUAAUGUACAUAUGUUUAUUUCUUUUUUUAAAAAAUUCUUACCUACCUCUCUACUAUAACAAAAUUAAUUUCAUUCUUUUUUGUUGCAUUUAAACUUUAUCUUGGUAAUGUUCAUAUUACAAAUUUGCCUAUAUUGUUGGUAUUAUAUUGUUACUAUAUAGAUAUAUUUGUAAGCAUAAAUGCUUGGUAUUCAAAUGUUUAACUAGUAAUAUUCAUAUUACAAAUUUGCAUAUAUGUUUGGUAUGAUAUUGUUACUAUAUAGAUAUGUUAUAUUUGUAAGCAUCAAUGCGUGGUAUUCAAAUGUUUAACAACUCUCCAUUUUUUUCUCAAGUAACCCUCUGACAAAAGGCUGUAUUUAUAUAAAACUGACAGAUUUUUAUGGUGGAUCAUUUUUCUUACAUUAAUUACAUAGGUAGUAUUAUUUUAGUUGGAGGUCAAAUAACAUACUAUCAAUGACAAUUUAGAGAUAAAUUGUUUGAAAUCCUGAUAUGGAAGAGCUAUAGAAAUAACAUGGGUGACCUCACGUUUUUAAGAUAGCCUCUCUGCACCAUAUGGCUAGUCCCAAAUGGAGAUCAAGAAAGCAAGGUCAUUUUUAAUCUCUACAUACAUCUUGCUUUCCUGGUUUAACACUAAUCAUUCAUUGUAUUCUGCAUAUUGGAAGGGAGCAGAUGAAGGAUACUAAGAAUUCACUUUGAAAACAUGUACUCAAUGUUUCAUAUCCAAAAACUCCCAGGGAUUAAACAAUCAGAAAACCCUACAUCAUUUGCAUUUUAAUGGAUACAAAUAAGAGUUGAAACAUUUCUUUACACUUAAACUACCAUGAACAAGCUUAUAUAGCUAUUAGGAGUGAAAAUGGGGAGGAGGAGGAAGAAGGGGACUCUGAAAUUUAAGGAAAAUUCAUUUCUUUUACAGAGUUGGAGCUAGGCUGAUUAAGUCAAGGUGCCUAACUCUGCUAGAGACACAUUUUCCUAAUGAAAAAUACUGUAACUUCAGACUUUUCACAUUUUCCAUGAAUAGAUGUCAUUACUCAUUAUCACAUUUAUCAUUACUUGUAAAACAAUGAGGUGGCAGCAGGGGGGGAAAGGACUAAAAUAGAAUUGAAAAAAAAAUUGGUACUAGCUAAGGUAAUUUAAAUGAAGCUUUUUUUUUUCCAGAAGCAAAGGUGACCUCCAUGAUUACUCCACCAUACCUUUGGGAAACUGACAUAAGAUAGUGGACAACUAUAAUGGAAAGAAUAGUGACUACGGUUUCUCUCCACCCUCCUCUAAUUCUGCAUUAGAAAUGAAAAAAAGCUUGACUGGUAAAAUUCUGAAACAGACAAUGAGCUAUUUAAGUGAUAAUUACUGAAUCUCAUUUUUAGAAGCCCAUUAACAGGUAUCUCUUUAGUCAUGAGAAAAUUAUUCAUAAAUAUUAAAUUGUGUGAUCACAUUGCAAGUUUCUUUCAAAUUAUAGAAUCUGACUAAUUUCACAGUAACUGUUUGCCAUUAAUUGGCUUUAAGAUUUAAUCAAGUAAAGACAUCAUUGUUUAAUUCUAAUUUGUAAAGCCAAAAAAAGUGUAACAUUAUUAUCUUUAGUCAAACUUCUUCAAAUGUUUAUGCAAGGUAGAAAUUGAAAACAACAGGUACUCCUGUGCUUACAGUUUCUCCAGUUCAAAGAACAAAAUUCAUCAAUGGGAAGCUGCAGUGGAUUGUAGAGUAAAAUCUUGCUGCCCAACUAGAGAAUAAAAAGAGUUUGACCAGACUUAUAACAAUGACAUAAUGGCCAUUUUGUUGAGUUCUUAAUGAGUUUAGUAGGUAGUGAAAUGGGAAAGGUUCCCUUGUCCCCCUUGCAGGGUGUGUGGUGGGGGUGUAGCUUGCUUCUUCAGUGCCCCACUGCUCAAACUUCUAGGGGAGCAUACAGAUGGGCAGGUUGUGGGGCUCCAACCCCACGGCAGUGUCUAGGGGUGAAUGUUUACAGCUCCUGAAGUGCCAGUGGGCGUGUGUUACAGGGUGCUCUGUUAGUUUGCCCUCUCUAGGCAGCUUGUGUUAACCAGCUCAGUUGGACUUUGUUGCAAGGAUAGAAGACUUUCUGUAUCUCCAGGUUCUUGCCUUGGUGUACCAGAAGAAUCAAUCACACAUGGUCUUGGAGAAUGAGUGCAAAGUUUUAUUGAGUGCAGGUAGCUCUCUGCUGCUCUUCCACCAGUAUGCUCUCCACAACCAGCCGCUUGUGUGUUCUUCCACUGAUGUGUCCUCUCAAUGUCCAGACGCUUCUGUCUCUGCCUUGCUAGGAUCUUGGGCUUUUAUAGACCUUGGAUGGGGAGGUGGUGAGCCAGGGUGGUCUUGGGAAAUGCAACAUUUGGGCGUGAAGUCAGGAGUGCCUGUUCUCACCUAGGUCCGUGGGGGUAAAGCCCUAGCUAGGGACCAUGCCUUCCUCUACCCAGCACUUCCCUUCCUCAUUCUGUAUCAUUUAAAGAGACCACACUCCUCCCUUCCCAGCACUCCUGUAUCAGUAGGAAGAUAGAAGAAAACUCUAGAUCACCAUCAAGUUCAAGUCAUUUCAGAUUUUCAGUGAAUAUAUGUUUGCUGUGUCCUUCAGGUACCAAGAUGCAGGGAAAUGAUUAAAAGGCCCUGAGAUAUACAAUACUGAAUGGUAGGGAGGAGGAGGCCUUCUAGGUUGGAAAGUCCCGUAGCUGACUAGCUACUAAAUGUUCUAUCAGCUAUUGAUAAGACCGUGUUCAGAACAUACGGAAAUUGUAGGAUAUAAUUUUUGUAUGUUACUUGUCACCAGCUGUUCAAUAUUAUGAAUUAUUCCUGAGACAUUACAGAAGUUGAGAAUGAAUUGUGCCCAUAAACAGAAAACAUAUUAACCUAUACAAUACACUCGUUUUCCUUUUAGAGACACGAAUACCCCUAGCUCAAGGAGUCGAUAUGUAUAAAAUAGGCAACUAGGGGCAUGCAAAUAUUGUGGAAAUGGUGUUUCUGAUUGGCACUGGCAGAUUUAUUAUUCGAAAUAAUCCUGUUGGCAAAAAAAGGAAAUUUUUUUUCCGUAUCAUAAAAUCUGAUUUCAAAAACUUGCUCCUUUUUGACUUUCUCUAUAAGCUUGUAAGUCUGCAUUCUUCUCUCAUUUUUAUAUCCAGGCUCUAUUGUAAUUUAUCUGUUGCUAACCAGUUUUCAAUAAAAUAUAUAAUAAAUAA